AAGGUAUGAGACUGGAGGCAAAAAUCAUUCACAGCAGAAACAGAGGCCUCACACAGAUCCUGUGGGUGUAUCCAAAACGUCUGAUUGAUGUGAACUCAGCAAUGGGGAGAGCUGGAGGAAGAAAAAUAUGAGACGCAUGACGCAUUUGGGAUUCAGUCAGUGAAAUAUUUACACAGUUAGAUCGUGGUUUUAUGUAAUAUUUUCCUUUGGGGUAGUAUUUGGAGAACCAGCUGAAUUUUAGGUUCUUACCCAAAUCAAGCCACACCUCUGAACAUUGAAACAACCAGGAUGGGUCAGGAAAUGAGAGUAACAUGACUUCACCCACCUCCUUCAAUUUUUUAAAACUCUUGAAGUGCUUUUGAUAUGGGACUCAGGCAUUCUCACACCCAGAUCCCACCCUCACCUCCUUCAGCUCAGCAUUUAAGCACAUGCUUAACUUUAAAUGCUUUGGAACAAAGCCUGUACUUCCGUGCUUUUCUGGCUCUUAAAGUAUAAGCUAUGUAUGCUGAACGUAUGAACUACGAUGCUCUCAACGUUUUGAGCAUCACCCUUUAUACUGAUAACCACCAGUUCUUUAUUGCCAAUGAACAAUGAUGAUGGCUGCAGAGCAAGAAAUUUGAAAUGUUUGCAUUGUUUAAUCACUCCUGAAAACACAAGUCUCAGCAAUCAGCAUGCUUAAUGUUUCUUGCCAGAAGUCACUUUAGUGGGUAUUGGUUGCUGUAUCCCGUCACCAGUUAGUUGCCAGCUUACAAUACUUUCACUUAUUUAAUAAUAUACAUUUUUGAUGCCUUAGUCAUAGGAAAAGAAGCAAAUAUUUUUUGUAUUACUCAGUGUUUUCAUCCCCUGGGUCUUAUCUCCUGUUUUAAUUUACUGUUUGUUAUUUUAUGAAGGAGCUUUCACUUUUGCUUAGUUUCAGAGCCCACCCUGGAUAUCCCCUGGAUAGGCUGAAGUACAUUAGAUAUGACAUUAACUAGCAUUAAUGUGGAAAUUUAGAAUCCAAAUAGAACUUGUACUGCUGCCCAAUAAUGAGUCAUUGUCCUUUUUCUCUUUUUAGCCAACAGCAGAUUCAGAAGCUGUGAGACAGUUUCCUGCAGAUAAGAGAUAAAUCGAAGGGAAACCUGGCAAAAAGAUGAUGGUCAAGCUGCAAGAUAUCAUUUCCUCCAAAGCCCCUACAUACUAAUUAACCAUUCCAAGCAUAUUUUCAACAACAUUUAGGGAUUUCCUCGUCAAAAUAAACUUCCUUCUAUGUUAUCUUCA